rnacentral:ncRNA from 2 species
CCAUAGUAAUUCAAUUGCACUCAUAUAAUCGCAGGGAUAUGGCCUGCAAGUUUCUACCGGAUUACCGUAAAUGAUCCGACUAUGAGUAAGCGAACGUGCGGA